rnacentral:rRNA from 1 species
UACGUAGGGGGCAAGCGUUGUCCGGAUUUAUUGGGCGUAAAGAGCGUGUAGGCGGCCAGAUAAGUCCGCUGUGAAAUCUCGAGGCUCAACUUCGAGCUGUCGGUGGAAACUGUCUGGCUAGAGUCCGGAAGAGGAGAAUGGAAUUCCUGGUGUAGCGGUGAAAUGCGUAGAUAUCUGGAGGAACACCGGUGGCGAAGGCGGCAUCCUGGACCGACACUGACGCUGAGGAGCGAAAGCCAGGGGAGCAAACGGG